GCUGUCCUGACAAAGCCCUUUUCUCCUUGAACCACAAUUGGCUCUGUCAGGCAGGUAG
rnacentral:miRNA from 1 species